UACGUAGGGCGCGAGCGUUGUCCGGAAUUAUUGGGCGUAAAGAGCUCGUAGGCGGCCUGUUGCGUCUGCUGUGAAAUCCCGGGGCUUAACCCCGGGCGUGCAGUGGAUACGGGCAGGCUGGAGGCAGGCAGGGGAGAACGGAAUUCCCGGUGUAGCGGUGAAAUGCGCAGAUAUCGGGAGGAACACCGGUGGCGAAGGCGGCCUUCUGGACAGUGACUGACGCUGAGACGCGAAAGCGUGGGGAGCAAACAGG
rnacentral:rRNA from 1 species